GAGUUUGAUCCUGGCUCAGAACGAACGUUGGCGGCGUGGAUUAGGCAUGCAAGUCGAACGCGAAAGUUUCCUUCGGGGAGCGAGUAGAGUGGCGAACGGGUGAGUAAUGCGUAGAUGACCUACCCAGAUGAUCGGGACAACCACUCGAAAGGGUGGCUAAUACCGGAUGUGGUCGGAUUCCUGCGGGUUUCCUACGAAAGAUGGCCUCUGACUCAAGCUGUCGCAUUUGGAGGGGUUUACGUGCUAUUAGCUUGUUGGUGGGGUAACGGCCUACCAAGGCGAUGAUGGCUAGCCGGCCUGAGAGGGUGUCCGGCCACACUGGGACUGAGACACUGCCCAGACUCCUACGGGAGGCUGCAGUCGAGAAUCUUCCACCAAUGCGCGAAAGCGUGAUGGAGCAACGCCGCGUGUGCGAUGAAGGCUUUCGGGUUGUAAAGCACUGUUGGAAGGGCGUAAUUGCCAUCGGUUAAUACCCGUGUGGUUUGAACUCCCUUCGGAGGAAGCACCGGCUAAAUUCGUGCCAGCAGCCGCGGUAAUACGAAUGGUGCAAACGUUGUUCGGAAUCACUGGGCAUAAAGAGCACGUAGGCGGUCCAGUCAGUCAGCUGUGAAAUCCCUCGGCUCAACCGAAGAACUGCAGCUGAUACCGCUGGGACUAGAGUACGGGGAAGGGGAGAGUGGAAUUCCUGGUUGAAGUCGGUGAUAUUGGGUAGAUAUCAGGAGGAACGCCGAGAGGCGAAAGCCGGCUCUCUGGUCCGUUACUGAUCGCUGAGAUGCGAAAGCUAGGGGAGCAAACAGGAUUAGAUACCCUGGUAGUCCUAGCUGUAAACGAUGGGCACUAAGUAGGGGGACUCCCAAGGUCUCCCUGCCGGAGCUAAUGUGUUAAGUGCCCCGCCUGGGAAGUACGGUCGCAAGGCUGAAACUCAAAGGAAUUGACGGGGGCUCACACAAGCGGUGGAGCAUGUUGUUUAAUUCGACGCAACGCGAAGAACCUUACCUGGGCUUGACAUUCAAGUGGUACCAAACCGAAAGGGGCGGGACCGUCUUUUGGCGGAGCUUGAACAGGUAUUGCAUGGCUGUCGUCAGCUCGUGUCGUGAGAUGUUGGGUUAAGUCCCGUAACGAGCGCAACCCUUGUCCUUAGUUGCCAGCGGAUCAUGCCGGGGACUCUAGGGAGACUGCCGGUGUUAAACCGGAGGAAGGCGGGGAUGACGUCAAGUCAUCAUGGUCCUUACGCCCAGGGCUACAAACGUGCUACAAUGGUCGGUACAAAGAGACGCUAGACCGCGAGGUCACGCAAAUCUCAAAAAGCCGGCCCCAGUUCGGAUUGGAGGCUGCAAUUCGCCUCCAUGAAGUCGGAAUCGCUAGUAAUCGCAGAUCAGCUACGCUGCGGUGAAUAUGUUCCUGAGCCUUGUACACACCGCCCGUCAAGCCACCCAAAUAGGCAGCACCCGAAGUCGCAGACCCAACCUUAGGGAGGGAUGCGCCGAAGGUGAGGUUUGUGAGGGGGACUAAGUCGUAACAAGGUAGC
rnacentral:rRNA from 1 species